rnacentral:sRNA from 1 species
AAUAGAGAAUAGUACGAGUUAUUUUUCUCAAAUUUUAAACAAAAUUCAGUGUGGAACAAUGAAAUGUACGUAUUAAUCAAAAGUCGUACAAUAUUUAAAAUGACAUGUUCUUCCUCUUCAUCUCAAAGUUGUAAAAAUAAGUCUGUUCGUUUCGUCGCCGCAUGUAGUUGCGGUUGCGGCAGACGCAUAUCGAAGCUGUUCGUUUCACUACCGCAGAUAGAUGCGGUAAAACGCUGCGGCCGACGCAACGUUAUGCGGCGAAAAAAAUUAAACGCGGAUUAAAUUUAGCGUUAGAAUUAAAAAGCUGCGAUUAAUAUGCCAAAUGACAGAAAUACCCUUAAUA